AACGAACGCUGGCGGCAUGCCUAACACAUGCAAGUCGAACGAACCCUUCGGGGUUAGUGGCGCACGGGUGCGUAACGCGUGGGAAUCUGCCCUUUGCUUCGGAAUAACAGUUAGAAAUGACUGCUAAUACCGGAUGAUGUCUUCGGACCAAAGAUUUAUCGGCAAGGGAUGAGCCCGCGUAGGAUUAGGUAGUUGGUGGGGUAAAGGCCUACCAAGCCGACGAUCCUUAGCUGGUCUGAGAGGAAGAUCAGCCACACUGGGACUGAGACACGGCCCAGACUCCUACGGGAGGCAGCAGUGGGGAAUAUUGGACAAUGGGCGCAAGCCUGAUCCAGCAAUGCCGCGUGAGUGAUGAAGGCCUUCGCGUCGUAAAGCUCUUUUACCAGGGAUGAUAAUGACAGUACCUGGAGAAUAAGCUCCGGCUAACUCCGUGCCAGCCGCCGCAGUAAAAC
rnacentral:rRNA from 1 species